GUUUUGUCUAGACGUAUGCUGGUCAGCAGCACAAACCAAAAACUUUCUCUCUCCCCCAAGGAUUUAUUGCCUGGCUGAACAGAAAAGGACAGACAUUGAAGUGGGCAUCGAGCAACGUUGGUUUUCGAUAAAGAGCAGGACAUUCUGGCAUUUGGAUCCAAUAUUGUAAACUACCAAGAUGUUGAAGAAAUCAAAAGUUACAGACCAAACAGCCACUGGACAGGUGGGCAUCAAGAAGCGAUCCAAAGUCCCGGGCGUCAUGGUCACACAGUGGACGGAGGAACUCCCUGAAGGGAAGUCAACACCAGACUUCAUUCGCAAACCCAUAGCUUUAACCAUUC